UGCAAUCGCAGGCACUGGGCAGGCUGAGGC
rnacentral:piRNA from 1 species